UACAGAGGUCUCAAGCGUUGUCCGGAAUUAUUGGGCGUAAAGAGCUUGUAGGCGGUUUGUCGCGUCUGCUGUGAAAUUUCGGGGCUCAACCCCGAACUUGCAGUGGGUACGGGCAGACUAGAGUGUGGUAGGGGAGACUGGAAUUCCUGGUGUAGCGGUGAAAUGCGCAGAUAUCAGGAGGAACACCGAUGGCGAAGGCAGGUCUCUGGGCCGAUACUGACGCUGAGGAGCGAAAGCGUGGGGAGCGAACAGG
rnacentral:rRNA from 1 species